rnacentral:rRNA from 1 species
UAGGGAAUCUUCCGCAAUGGGCGAAAGCCUGACGGAGCAACGCCGCGUGAGUGAUGAAGGUCUUCGGAUCGUAAAACUCUGUUAUUAGGGAAGAACAAAUGUGUAAGUAACUAUGCACGUCUUGACGGUACCUAAUCAGAAAGCCACGGCUAACUACGUGCCAGCAGCCGCGGUAAUACGUAGGUGGCAAGCGUUAUCCGGAAUUAUUGGGCGUAAAGCGAGCGCAGGCGGUAAAUUAAGUCGGUUGUGAAAGCCCCCGGCUAAACCGGGGAGGGUCAUUGGAAACUGGUUGACUUGAGUGCAGAAGAGGAGGGUGGAAUUCCAUGUGUAGCGGUGAAAUGCGUAGAUAUAUGGAGGAACACCAGUGGCGAAGGCGACUCUCUGGUCUGAAACUGACGCUGAGGCUCGAAAGCGUGGGUAGCAAACAGG